rnacentral:tRNA from 1 species
GCCGUGGCUGCGGUGCGUGGCGCUGACCUAUCCCGUGCUGGCGCCGCUGCCGGGCUGGGGGCUCGUGGACUCCCGGUUCCGCCCCGUGGCCGCGGUG